rnacentral:rRNA from 1 species
AUUGAACGCUGGCGGCAUGAUUUACACAUGCAAGUCGAACGGUAACAGGCCGCAAGGUGCUGACGAGUGGCGAACGGGUGAGUAAUGCAUCGGAACGUGCCCAGUCGUGGGGGAUAACUACUCGAAAGAGUAGCUAAUACCGCAUACGAUCUAUGGAUGAAAGCGGGGGACCGUAAGGCCUCGCGCGAUUGGAGCGGCCGAUGUCAGAUUAGGUAGUUGGUGGGGUAAAGGCUCACCAAGCCCACGAUCUGUAGCUGGUCUGAGAGGACGACCAGCCACACUGGGACUGAGACACGGCCCAGACUCCUACGGGAGGCAGCAGUGGGGAAUUUUGGACAAUGGGCGCAAGCCUGAUCCAGCAAUGCCGCGUGCAGGAAGAAGGCCUUCGGGUUGUAAACUGCUUUUGUACGGAACGAAACGGCUCUGGUUAAUACCCGGGGCUAAUGACGGUACCGUAAGAAUAAGCACCGGCUAACUACGUG